CAGACGGGUGAGUAACACGUGGGUGACCUACCCAUUGGUGGGGGAUAGCUCCUCGAAAGAGGGGCUAAUACCGCAUGACAUCGAUCGCCCUUCGGGGUGAUCGAUCAAAGCUUGCCUCUUCUUGAAAGCAGGCGCCGAUGGAGGGGCCCGCGCCCCAUUAGCUUGUUGGUGAGGUAACGGCUCACCAAGGCGACGAUGGGUAGCCGGCCUGAGAGGGUGAUCGGCCACACUGGAACUGAGACACGGUCCAGACUCCUACGGGAGGCAGCAGUGAGGAGUUUUGCGCAAUGGGCGAAAGCCUGACGCAGCGACGCCGCGUGGAGGACGAAGGUCUCCGGAUCGUAAACUCCUGUCAAGAGGGACGAAUCCCGAACGGAUGAAUAAGCCGGUCGGUUGACGGUACCUCUGGAGGAAGCCCCGGCUAACUCCGUGCCAGCAGCCGCGGUAAUACGGAGGGGGCCAGCGUUGUUCGGAAUUAUUGGGCGUAAAGGGCGCGUAGGCGGCUAGGCAAGUUGGAGGUGAAAGCCCUCGGCUCAACCGAGGAACUGCCUCCAAAACUGCCUAGCUUGAGUCCCGGAGAGGGUAGUGGAAUUCCCAGUGUAGCGGUGAAAUGCGUAGAUACUGGGAGGAACACCAGUGGCGAAGGCGGCUACCUGGACGGGUACUGACGCUGAGGCGCGAAAGCGUGGGGAGCAAACAG
rnacentral:rRNA from 1 species